AGCGCAGGUGGUUUAUUAAGUCUGGUGUAAAAGGCAGUGGCUCAACCAUUGUAUGCAUUGGAAACUGGUAGACUUGAGUGCAGGAGAGGAGAGUGGAAUUCCAUGUGUAGCGGUGAAAUGCGUAGAUAUAUGGAGGAACACCGGUGGCGAAAGCGGCUCUCUGGCCUGUAACUGACACUGAGGCUCGGAAGGCGUGGGAGCAAACA
rnacentral:rRNA from 1 species